rnacentral:sRNA from 1 species
CACACACGGAACUCGGGUUUCGACGUUCGGGCUUGUCCCGACGCCGCGAUCCACCGGUGGCGGCAUUCGGCCGCUUCUUUUCCGUGGAGGCUCAACCGGUAAAGGAAAAAA